rnacentral:lncRNA from 1 species
AGUUGCGGCCAGUGUUUAGUCCCACCUCGCCAACCGAAGGGCGCUCACACCAGUUUAUAAGCCCGUCCCUCUAUGCCUUGUUGAGCUUCUCUUAAAGUGAAAAUAGAUGCCCUUAUACAGGGAAUUUGACCUAAAUUCACAGUAAAUUUCAUAGAAAUUUACUAUGAAUUUAGGUUUAAUUUUCUCUAUAAGCGCAUCUAUGUUCAUUUUUUAUAUUUAUAAAAUAAAUAAACCUUAAUAAAAUAAAUAAAACUAAAUAANNNNNNNNNNCUGAAAAGGUUAAAAGUUGGCAUGGUAUCAUAAUUUCACCCACAUAGCAUGUGCAAGAAAGUAGAGAGGGUUACGGCAAAAACUGGAUGCACUUCGUGUACAAAACGGACAAUCUCUUUCGAAGUAUCAGGGUUUCAUUCGGAAACUCGUCUGUUACAAAGGGAUUUCAUUUUUUUGAACUUUCUUGAACUCCAUAGUUUUUCUGUGUUCAAAAUGCACCAUUCAAAGCCACAUCAUCAAUUUUCAACCCUUUCUGACUUCAUUUGUUAUAUUUCAUACAUUUACUGAUUAUUUUGAGCUAUAAGACCCUGAAAUUGAAAAGCAUUUCAAAUCAACUAUGAAAAGGUUAAAAGUUGGCAUGGUAUCAUAAUUUCACCCACAUAGCAUGUGCAAGAAAGUAGAGAGGGUUACGGCAAAAACUGGAUGCACUUCGUGUACAAAACGGACAAUCUCUUUCGAAAUAUCAGGGUUUCAUACGGAAACUCGUCUGCUACAAAGGGAUUUCAUUUUUUUAACUUACUUGAACUCCAUAGUUUUUUGUGUUCAAAGUGCACCAUUCAAAGCCACAUCGUCAAUUUUCAACCCUUUUUGACUUCAUUUGUUAUUUUUCAUGCAUUUGCUGAUUAUUUUGAGCUAUAAAACCCUGAAAUUGAAAAGCAUUUCAAAUAAACUCUGAAAAGGUUAAAAGUUGGCAUGGUAUCAUAAUUUCACCCACAUAGCAUGUGCAAGAAAGUAGAGAGGGUUACGGCAAAAACUGGAUGCACUUCGUGUACAAAACGGACAAUCUCUUUCGAAGUAUCAGGGUUUCAUUCGGAAACUCGUCUGUUACAAAGGGAUUUCAUUUUUUAACUUACUUGAACUCCAUAGUUUUUGUGUGUUCAAAAUGCACCAUUCAAAGCCACAUCAUCAAUUUUCGACCCUUUCUGACUUCAUUUGUUAUUUUUCAUGCAUUUAUUGAUUAUUUUGAGCUAUAAGACCCUGAAAUUNNNNNNNNNNGAUGCACUUCGUGUACAAAACGGACAAUAUGUUUUGAAGUAUCACGAUUUCUUUCGGAAACUCGUCUGUUACAAAGGGAUUUCAUUUUUUUGAACUUACUUGAACUCCAUAGUUUUUCUGUGUUCAAAAUGCACCAUUCAAAGCCACGUCAUCAAUUUUCAACCCUUUUUGACUUCAUUUGUUAUUUUUCAUGCAUUUACUGAUUAUUUUGAGCUAUAAAACCCUGAAAUUGAAAAGCAAUUCAAAUCAACUCUGAAAAGGUUAAAAGUUGGCAUGGUAUCAUAAUUUCACCCACAUAGCAUGUGCAAGAAAGUAGAGAGGGUUACGGCAAAAACUGGAUGCACUUCGUGUACAAAACGGACAAUCUCUUUCGAAGUAUCAGGGUUUCAUUCGGAAACUCGUCUAUUACAAAGGGAUUUCAUUUUUCUGAACUUACUUGAACUGCAUAGUUUUUGUGUGUUCAAAAUGCACCAUUCAAAGCCUCAUCAUCAAUUUUCAACCCUUUCUNNNNNNNNNNCAGGGGCCUGCCGGGCCUCGUGGGGGCAUUGGUCCCGGUUCGUCCGGACCCGUUGGUCCCGGUUGGUGGGACAAACCGGGACCAAUGGGCCACGCUCCUGGCCCACCACCCUUUAGUCCCGGUUCCUACCACAAACCGGGACUAAAGGGCUGGUCCUAGUUGCGGCCAGUGUUUAGUCCCACCUCGCCAACCGAAGGGCGCUCACACCAGUUUAUAAGCCCGUCCCUCUAUGCCUUGUUGAGCUUCUCUUAAAGUGAAAAUAGAUGCCCUUAUACAGGGAAUUUGACCUAAAUUCACAGUAAAUUUCAUAGAAAUUUACUAUGAAUUUAGGUUUAAUUUUCUCUAUAAGCGCAUCUAUGUUCAUUUUUUAUAUUUAUAAAAUAAAUAAACCUUAAUAAAAUAAAUAAAACUAAAUAAGCCUUAAAUAAAAUAAACUAUAGUAACUACAAUAAAUAAACCUUAAUAAAUUAAGUAAAAAUAGCAGCAGUAAAAUAAAUAAAAAUAAAAUAAUUAAAGUAAAAUACAUAAGUAACUAGAAAUAAAAUAAAUAAGUUUUUUGUUGUAAGUAGAAACAAAACAAAACAAAUAAAGCAAAAGAGAAAAAAACAGAGGAAAAAAA